AACGAACGCUGGCGGCAGGCCUAACACAUGCAAGUCGAGCGAGGGGCAACCCUAGCGGCGGACGGGUGAGUAACGCGUGGGAACGUACCCUUUGGUUCGGAAUAGCCCCUGGAAACGGGGAGUAAUACCGGAUACGGUCGAGAGACGAAAGAUUUAUCGCCGAAGGAUCGGCCCGCGUUGGAUUAGGUAGUUGGUGGGGUAAUGGCCUACCAAGCCGACGAUCCAUAGCUGGUUUGAGAGGAUGAUCAGCCACACUGGGACUGAGACACGGCCCAGACUCCUACGGGAGGCAGCAGUGGGGAAUCUUAGACAAUGGGCGCAAGCCUGAUCUAGCCAUGCCGCGUGAUCGAUGAAGGCCUUAGGGUUGUAAAGAUCUUUCAGUGGGGAAGAUAAUGACUGUACCCACAGAAGAAGCCCCCGGCUAACUCCGUG
rnacentral:rRNA from 1 species